GCUACAGAAGAAGUUCCAAUAAAACAAGGAUUGAAAC
rfam:Desulfitibacter sp. BRH_c19 BRHa_1000399, whole genome shotgun sequence.